GAUGAACGCUGGCGGCGUGCCUAACACAUGCAAGUCGAACGAAGCUUGACGGAUGAUUUCUUCGGAAUGAAACCAGAUAUGACUUAGUGGCGGACGGGUGAGUAACACGUGAGCAACCUGCCUUUCAGAGGGGGAUAACGGCUGGAAACGGUCGCUAAUACCGCAUGAUGUGUUCGGAUGGCAUCAUCUGAACAUCAAAGAUUUAUCGCUGAAAGAUGGGCUCGCGUCUGAUUAGAUAGUUGGUGGGGUAACGGCCUACCAAGUCUACGAUCAGUAGCCGGACUGAGAGGUUGAACGGCCACAUUGGGACUGGGAUACGGCCCAGACUCCUACGGGAGGCAGCAGUGGGGAAUAUUGCACAAUGGGGGAAACACUGAUGCAGCAACGCCGCGUGAAGGAUGACGGUUUUCGGAUUGUAAACUUCUUUUCUUAGUGACGAAGACAGUGACGGUAGCUAAGGAAUAAGCAUCGGCUAACUACGUG
rnacentral:rRNA from 1 species